rnacentral:lncRNA from 1 species
UUGCUUAGGGACCCUACAUCACCCCAGUAAGCUGGAGGAGAGGAUGAGGGGGAUGGAAGGCUUAUUCUGUCUUGGGGGUGAAGCAUCUGAUCAGGAAAGGAAACCUCUGAGCAAGCUCCUCUGGGAAGGGAACAGACCCAGGCACAGAGAAUGUUCCGGACAACGCAGGAACACAGACCAUUAGUCCAAAGAGCUCCAUUUGCCGGAAAGGCUUCUUACUGGAAGCCUCAGGGAGGCUGGUACCAGCGUGGGGAGGACAGAGAUAUUAAUGGGCAGAAGGGACAGACAUUUCCAGGUAAGAGGACUGGAAACCAAGGUUUAGCAGAGAAGAGGUGAAUCCUGGGAGAAUCCGGCUCUGAGAGAAAGUACCCUGAUAGUCUGAGAUAGGUUUCUUUAAAUCUUGCUGAACGUUACGUUGCCUUUCCUCAAGCAAUGCAGAGUGAUUUUAACGAAGGGUACCAAUUUUCAUAGAAAGCGUUACAGGCGCCAAGGGGCCAUGGGGGGCAUCUGUCCUUGCCUCUGGAAGGAACCGUAUCCCAGUGAUUCCGGACAGAAAUCGGCGCUGCUUCCAAGGUCCGUCGGCGAUGGAGCUUCCCUCAUCUUGCUCUGAGCUCAGUCCGGCGCUCUGGAAAGGAGCCUUUGUGUCUAACCGCAGUCCCUUCUGCAGCAACAUGUCCUCUUGGUUGAAGCUCAAGGGAGAGGGUGAAGCAGGACCUCCAGCGGAGGCUGUGGUCCUGACCCAGGGGGAGCAUCGAGCUUCAGUUAACCACAGGGAGGACAGUCACCCAGUCCCUCCUAGGCACCCAGAGCUGUGGCGGGAGGACACUGGACAGCCCGGCGACGCCUUCCAGAGGAGACCCAGCGCGACGGGAUGGCCUGGGGGCUCGGCCCUAUCGCUCAGACCCUGUGCGGUGGAGCAGGCCUGCCCGUUUCCCCAGACCCUCUCCUUGACUGCAACCUCUGCCUCCCUUCUGGGCCACUUGGCUUGCCUUCCCUGAGCCUCAGUCUUAUCUUCUGUAAAAUGGGACACAGUGGUGCUUGCCUCACCUGGUGCUCAAGACAGUGAUGUGAGACAAUGAACAGAGCACACCCAGAAAACCUCCCAGCACAUGGCAGGAGCUUGGUGAGUGUAACAGGACUGUUCUCCAGGAACAGACAGGCUGGAUGAACAGAUAAGCCGCCCUUGGACCUGCCUCUCCAACCGGCCACCACUGGCCAUGGGUGGCUAUUUAAUGUGAACUUCAAAGUAAGUAGGAUUAAAAUGCAAUUGUCCAUCACAUGAGCCACAGGGCAAGUGCUCAGGAAGCAUGCGUGACCAGGGGUUCCCAUGGUGGGUAGAGAAGCUCAUCCCCCAUCGUCACAGAAUGUUUGAUCGGACAGUGCUGCCCUAGAUCAGUGAGCAGAGGCAGGUCCCCAAAAUGAGCAGGGAUAGGGAAGAUGCGUUUUGAUAGGGAUGAAAGUCGGGGUCCGGAGCAGGGGUCCCUGUGGACCUCAAAUAAGAAGCUUCUCUCUGGUGGGAGCCAGAUGCAGGGGGCGACGGGAGGAGUGACCAGAGAGGGUCUGAGAACACACAGCCCUGCCCAGCUGGCCUGAGGGAAUCCAGGAUGCUGGCGUCACCCUCCGCCCUCCCCGGGGAGUCUGCGGAUGUGGCGGUGCAGGGGGGUCGCUUACGAGCCAGGGGACAUGUUUGAUGCUUUCCUGGCCCCGGAGAGACUGCGGAGGUGUCACCUUGAAUUUUCUCAGUGGGGUGGCGAGAACAGGCAGUUACACUGAGUCCUCAUUUGUCCUCCCUGAGUGCUAAGUGAUCAGUGAUACAUCGAGGCCCUGAUGGUUUCUGAAGGGCUCCUUUACAAGAUCUCCAAUAAAGCUCUAAAAGGAUCGUGCCUGUUUGGGGAAAGAUUAUGCCAGAGUGGGGCCAGGAGUUUGUCAGAAGAAAUUCCAGCCGGGCGAGCAUUUAGGGAACCAGACGAAGUCAGUGCUGGGAGCCAAUGAAUUAGAUGGCUGGAUGUGUCCCGGUAAUAAUGGUGAAUAAUAAAUGACCGAGAAGCUGCUGUAACUCACAGAGCAGGAGCGGAGACUAGAGAAGAAAAUUUAUGGCCUUGUAGUGCUGAGGGAAAGAGAACGCUUCGGACGUGACUCGGGCUUUUGAAGAGAAAACUUCUCCAAGACAUACCCCUCCGGAAAAAAAAAAAAAAAAAAGCCUCUUGUCAAAAGGGUCUGAAUUUUCUGGCAACAAAGGGUCUCUGGCUGUUACCAUCUCUCCAUCCAGCCCCAUCCUUCUCUGACUCCUCUUCUGCCUCCCACAAACUCCUGCCGGCCAGAGUGAGGGCAGCUGUGGGGACAGGCCACCGCAUCACCCUUCUCUGCAAAUGGGCCAUAGCCAGGGUGACGAGAGCCAAAGCUGGAUAAGGACAUGGGGAAAGGGGUUUCAGGAGUUUGAUGAGUGCCCGAAGGCCGCUAUUUUUAUCGGAGUCCAGGGGCUGCCUUCUCAAGAUCCAUUUGGAGCAACCACAGGAAAGGACAUGAGUCAGAAAUAAAGUGGGCCUCCAGUCUCUGGAUCGAGGUCAUUCUCUAAUCAUUUAUUCGUGGUCUUUGGGGGCGCAGAGGCCCAGCCGGCGUAGAAGGUGCUGAAGGGGGCAGCGGCAGCCUCGCCCCAUCCCAGACCCUCCCUGCCGGCCUGCGGACUGUGCGCAGUUCUCCCUGCUUCUAUAAGCUGCCCUGGCCUCCCCUCUCCUCCCGGCUCAGCCCUGUGCCCAGGCUCUGGGUCAGAGCACAGGCUCUCAAGCCACUCCCUGCACUUGUGGGAUCUGCCCUCUCUACACAUGCCCAGUGGCAAAGGCCCGGCUGAGCUCCGAGUGUCUGGAAUGAAUGGGCGCUUCUGGUCAGUGUGCUGGGCGCUUGGCUGUGCCCAGCACGCUUGGCUGUGAAUUUCCUUCUGGACAGCCUUUUCUUUCCUUUCUUGGCUUCUGUGACCUUGCCUUCCUCUGAGUCUGUGACCUGUGCCCAUGUCUUAAAUGACAAAGGUGACUGAGAGACCACAGGGGUAGGAUAAUCACAUUAAAAGAAUGCUUACUGUUACUCACGGUUCCCCUGGAAACAGGGACGCAUAUCCAUGCAGGGCCACGUGGGGAAGCACCUGAGGCAGGAGGCAGAAGCAAGAGGGAGAGGAAAGCACUGGCCACGUCAUUCAUUGCGACCCCUGGGGAAAGGCAGGGCAGAGAUCAGCCUAGGAUUGGCUAGUUCGAACAUCAGUGGCAGGUUUGGAGCUAGAGGGUGGUCUCUUGCUGUCUGGUGAUUUAGGGCAGAGCAAAUAUUGGCUGGACGGGUGAGAAUUAGAUAAAGGAGAGGGUUGGGAAUGUGGACUUGGGAUUGCUAGGAGGUCUGUGGUGUGAUUUUCACAUGCCAGUGAAAGCCAGACUGCAGCGGAGAUGUACACAAUUUGGCUGUUAGUUCGGCUCCAUGAUUAAUGCGAUCCAUUGACCACAGAGGUUCCUGGCUUGCCAACAAACACCACGGACUACGUGGCUUUAGCAACAGAAAUUAUUUACUCACAGCUCUGGAGUCUGGGAUUCUGAGAGGGAGUCGUCAGCAGGUUGGUUCCUGGUGAGGCCACUCUCUCUGGCUUGCAGACGGCUACCUUCUCACCACGUCUUCACAUGGUCACGUCUCCCUGCACACACACACACACACACACACACACACACAGAGUUGCUUAUAAGUUGUUACUUAAAAGUGUAAUAGGGAAGAACAAAUCUGACUCAAAUUGGAUCUGUUUCUUUUACCUUAACCUUUGUAUGCUAAUGCUUUUGCUUCGAGUUAAGGAUGUUGCUUAUAGCCUGAAACGUACGGGAUAGCCUACACUCAAGGCUCUGACCUUUAA